ACUCAAGUCCUCGUCGAGCCCAUCACGUUUGUCACCUCGAUUUUUCCAGAAACCACCAAACAAGGCAGAAGUUCGUAGCUUUGUUCACAGGGAGACUUAUCUGUGUUCCUCCGUGGCAGCCCGAGUUGGUUCUUCUUCUGCUUAGGAAGACCCAUUUCUAGAAAACAAGGAAGAAUUAUUUUGCGGAGCUGAAUCGGGUUGGUCGAGGCACCAUCUUGCGAUCAUCUUGCUUCCCUGUCCUCUAAUCUUACUCACAUUCCCACUUCCGAUAUUGCCUACAACAGAAAUAGAAAGACAUGGUGCGCGUCAGAUAUACCACUUGAUGUCUUAAAUCCAUGUAUGACUUGGUCAGUGGACAAGGCCAGAAGGGAAGAAAGCAUGCUCAAACAGCGUACGUGAUUUCGUUUUUUAGGUGGUUCUCAAUUGGAUUCCACAGUGAAACCCAGAAACUUAAAGUAAAAACCUUGAAACUUAAAGGCACAAUCUGCAUGUCAUUAGAAACUACUUGAGCAGCCGCGAUCUCAGAUUUUCAAUUUCUAAACAAUGAGAUGAUGCGACUGUUCAAAGUGCUUUAUCAUUAAGCAAGGCCAAUUUGUUUAGGGCUUGAAGAUUUCUACAUUCACCAGGUUUAUCUUCGACUUCAGGUACUUUGUUCCAUUAACAACUUAAAGUCAGUUGCAACCACACAGUUUGGUUAUGAUUGGGUAAAAUAAGCUGAUUAUCUGCAUAUUUCAUGAGGAUAUCAAUAGGGACUAUCUACCCAAUCUUUUGUGUGUAAAUAGUAUGUAAACACACAUCAAAUAUUAUCUUUUGUAUGUAAAUAAUACUAUAUACAAAAAAUUUCCUACGAUUAAGGAUAGUUAGGAGUUCAAUUUGUAAAAGAUGUGAAUAUUAGAACAAUGACAAU